UGCCCAAGAGAUCGGGAUAACACCUGGAAACAGAUGCUAAUACCGGAUAACAACAGAUGAUGCCUAUCAACUGUUUAAAAGAUGGUUCUGCUAUCACUCUUGGAUGGACCUGCGGUGCAUUAGCUAGUUGGUAGGGUAACGGCCUACCAAGGCGAUGAUGCAUAGCCGAGUUGAGAGACUGAUCGGCCACAUUGGGACUGAGACACGGCCCAAACUCCUACGGGAGGCAGCAGG
rnacentral:rRNA from 1 species